AGAAUCGACGGGACGGCCUCCAAAUCCCUGGCAACAACGCCAUUCGCUGAGGGCGCGAAUCCACUGUGAGGGAUUUGAUUGGGUCGAAAGCCUUUUCACCUACGAAUCCCUCCGCUGAGAGUCAAACGGGGACGAAACAGGCCGUUCAACAGCUAAACGUGACGAGUAGCCUUUGUGCUAGCUAGCGGGAGCGGAUUCGUGGCUCAAAACACAAGUUGUCGCGACAAAACAUCCAAGAAUGUAGGAAAUGUCAUUUCCUGUGUUUCUGUGAGGAGUCUUGGAUGAUGGCCCAAAACCCCAGAACGCUAAAGCGACGGUCAAGUCCCGUGUGGAUCCUUGGAGCAUUGAGGGUGUUUGUCGGGAGUGCCGCCCAGCACUGGCACCUUGGCGGCCGGGCUGGGACUGGAGCUGUCCCCUCCUCUUCCCACCUCGAUGGCAGGACCCAGCGCAGGCCUCACCACCCCGACGCCGGACAGGACUCCCACGCCAGCACCGGGCCCAGUCGCCGCACCAAGCAGGUUGGCGGACUGCAGCACCGCCUCCGAGUGUUCGCGAGCCUUCAUGCGCAGGGCGGCCACACUGGCGGUGCGGUUGCCCUGACAACCGUAGGGCGGCAGGAAGGACAGACCCAUGGGGUCAGAAACGCAGCAGGAGCACAAGCCGUUACCUGAAAAAAACAAAACAGCAAAAAUGUGGCGACCUGUGAGAGCGCCUGGGCGUACGUGGCAGAAUUGAGCAGGGUCCCUGGUAAACAAGAUGGGAAGAAGGGACCACCAGGACCCACCGUCCUGUUGAUGCUGGGGAGAGCACAAGAUCAGGAUCCAAUAAUCCAGUGUAAAGUAUGACAUUUAUAUUUUUACAAAAAAUCAAAAUAUACUGCACACUGUGGAGGUAGUUUCCCUGUGACUUUGAUUGUUUGAUUAUCCGUCUGACUGAAAGAGUGACCACCCUGUAAUCUACAGAAAUGACCCAGAACUAUAUGUUUUGGCAGUCAUUAACGGAAAGAAUCUAAAUUUGACUUUCAUCAUUCAAAUCUGUAAACAGCAACCUCUCUGUCACCUGUCAAUGAGAUAUUGUUUCAUAAACAAUAAUA